rnacentral:rRNA from 1 species
UACGAAGGGGGCUAGCGUUGUUCGGGGUCACUGGGCGUAAAGCGCACGUAGGCGGCGCGUUAAGUCAGGGGUGAAAUCCUGGAGCUCAACUCCAGAACUGCCUUUGAUACUGGCGUGCUCGAGUGUGGGAGAGGUUGGUGGAACUCCGAGUGUAGAGGUGAAAUUCGUAGAUAUUCGGAAGAACACCAGUGGCGAAGGCGGCCAACUGGCCCAUUACUGACGCUGAGGUGCGAAAGCGUGUGUAGCAAACAGG